AUAUUAUACAUAUAAUAUAUCUAAAAAAAUCAACUAACACAAAAAAAUAGUACCAUUUUGUUGGGUCAACCCAGUUGGUCAAACAGUUGUGUUUCAUAUUUCCCUUAAAAUGGUGUGAGAUAUAGUGUGUAUAUUUCAGUAUGAGUUGUUAUAAGACAAUGAUUGAAAGAAAUUGACUUUGUUGAAUAUGCUGGAUUCUGACACAUUAGAAACUUGUAACCAGAUUCUUCAUUUUUUAACAAGAUAAAGAUUUAAAAAAAAAAUUAUUUAAAACAGUCAGCAAGUGGUUAGUAUAGUGGUUAAUUUUAACUCCACACAUUCUAUGUCGUCUCAAAACUGAUAAAGCAACUAGUUCUAAACUGGAUAAGAAGCCUUAAAAAAUGCAGUUAUAUAUGACAAAGGUGGUUUGGAAGCGCGCAAUAUUGAAGGACUAGUUGGUGAUCUGAUGAAACGUGCAACCUCGAAAUCGCCCAAAAAAUUGCAACUAUUUAACAUGAGUAUCGUACUAUAAGAAAAAUUUAUAUUGUAAAAUUUAUGCCUUUUUUGUAAAAUAUGAUCUAUCAAUAAAUUGAAUUCUGUUUA